AUGCUGAGCCCGAGUCAGGAGGGGUACGCAGCGCCCAAGCCCCGCCCGGAUGCCUCGUGCGCCGUGGGCUCCCCGUCUGCGCUCCGGGGAGGUUUCUCAUCGGACAGCCCUGGGCCCCUCCGCUGUGGCCGUUCCGCUUUCAGCCACUGGCGUAACCGGGCCCCUGACCAUCCCGCGCAGGGGGCUGCCCAAGGGCAUCCCAGGGUCCCUCCCGCAUCCCCUCUGCCCCCUUGCCCCGAGCUGGGGCGCGCGCUAGUUUCACGCGCGGCGAUCAGCGCCGAACUCGCGGCGGGGUCCCGGGACGGGACCCGGGGACCCGCGCGUGGCUCUAGGGGAACCAGUCCUGGGCCGCGGUGCUCACACAGCCUCAGUUCUGGGCCGGCCUGGAUCGGACCAGUUGGGAAGACCCAGCUGGGCGCGAGGCGUCGUCCCAGCCUGCGGGCGGCGGGGCGGGCCGGGCCGCGCCGCGCGCCUUUGCGCACAGUGGCCACUUGGGGUCGCACUUUAUGUCUGUUUGAGACUCGCGUCGGGCUGACGCCGCGAUCUGCUAAAUCGUUACAAAACGUUCAAACAAAAACAGGGUCGGUUCCCCAGCAGCCGCGAGCCGCCCGGAGCACCGUCCUGCACCGGCCUCAGCCCCAGGCCUCGGGAGCUCGGGCUCCGCGCGUCCGGCUGCGGAGAGGAAUUCAGAGCCCUCCGGCCGAUUCCUCCGCCGCCCCGUCCUCCUUCUGCUUCUGUGGGUGGGGCGGGCGCGGGGAGCGGCGGGGCCCCGGGAGUCCUGUCUCCGGCUCGGCCGCGGCCGCCGCACCCGCCGGGCGGGGAGCGGCCCCUGCUGGGCCCGAGGAGGGUCCCCCGGGGCUGAGGCUUGGGUCUGAACACAACUCUUGGAGCCGCAAACCCACCCCCAAGACGCAAAUACGCGCAGCCCCGCAGAAGCGCAGCCAGGCACGGCCCGCACCCCCGCGGCCCGCAGCAGCCGCGCGCCCACGGGACGUGCCCCACCGGGCGGGGGCCGCGGGGAACAAAGGGCUCGGGGGGGGGUCGCGGCGCUCCUCGCGGGCCUCCUGGGGGUGA
rnacentral:lncRNA from 1 species